UUUGACAUCUGGCCUCAAAUCAAGUAGGACUACCCGCUGAACUUAAGCAUAUCAAUAAGCGGAGGAAAAGAAACUAACAAGGAUUCCCCUAGUAACGGCGAGUGAAGCGGGAAGAGCUCAAAUUUGAAAUCUGGUGGCCUCAGGUCAUCCGAGUUGUAAUCUAUAGAAGUGUUUUCCGUGCUGGCUCAUGUACAAGUCCCUUGGAACAGGGCGUCAUAGAGGGUGAGAAUCCCGUCCUUGACAUGAACUACCAGUGCUCUGUGAUACAUUUUCAACGAGUCGAGUUGUUUGGGAAUGCAGCUCAAAAUGGGUGGUAAAUUCCAUCUAAAGCUAAAUAUUGGCGAGAGACCGAUAGCGAACAAGUACCGUGAGGGAAAGAUGAAAAGCACUUUGGAAAGAGAGUUAAACAGUAUGUGAAAUUGUUGAAAGGGAAACGAUUGAAGUCAGUCGUGCUCUUUGGAUUCAGCCGGUUCUGCCGGUGUACUUCCUUUGAGUGGGGUCAACAUCAGUUUUGAUCGCUGGAUAAAGGCUGGAGGAACGUAGUACCCUCGGGUAAACUUAUAGCCUCCUGUCACAUACAGUGGUUGGGACUGAGGAACGCAGCACGCCUUUAUGGCCGGGAUUCGUCCACGUAC
rnacentral:rRNA from 1 species